AGUGAACGCUGGCGGCGUGCUUAAGACAUGCAAGUCGAACGGCAGUCUUCGGACUGUAGUGGCGCACGGGUGAGUAACGCGUAACUGACCUACCCCAAAGUCGCGGAUAACGAUUCGAAAGAAUCGCUAAUACGUGAUGUGCUGUCAGAUUGUGUUCUGCCAGUAAAGAUUGAUUGCUUUGGGAUGGGGUUGCGUUCCAUCAGCUAGUUGGUGGGGUAAAGGCCCACCAAGGCGACGACGGAUAGCCGGCCUGAGAGGGUGGCCGGCCACAGGGGCACUGAGACACGGGUCGCACUCCUACGCGAGGCAGCAGUUAGGAAUCUUCCACAAUGGGCGAAAGCCUGAUGGAGCGACGCCGCGUGAGGGAUGAAGGUCUUCGGAUCGUAAACCUCUGAAUCAGGGACGAAAGACACUUCGGUGGGAUGACGGUACCUGAGUAAUAGCACCGGCUAACUCCGUGCCAGCCGCCGCAGUAACAC
rnacentral:rRNA from 1 species